rnacentral:rRNA from 1 species
UACGUAGGGACCAAGCGUUGUUCGGAUUUACUGGGCGUAAAGGGCGCGUAGGCGGCAGAUCAAGUCAGCUGUGAAAUCUCCGAGCUUAACUCGGAACGGUCAGCUGAUACUGUUUUGCUAGAGUACAGAAGGGGCAAUCGGAAUUCUUGGUGUAGCGGUGAAAUGCGCAGAUAUCAGGAGGAACACCUAUGGCGAAGGCAGCUCGCUGGGACGGUACUGACGCUGAGGCGCGAAAGCGUGGGGAGCAAACAGG